rnacentral:rRNA from 1 species
UACGUAGGGGGCAAGCGUUAUCCGGAUUUACUGGGUGUAAAGGGAGCGUAGACGGUUAUGCAAGUCUGAAGUGAAAGCCCAAGGCUCAACCAUGGGACUGCUUUGGAAACUGUAAAACUGGAGUGCAGGAGAGGUAAGCGGAAUUCCUAGUGUAGCGGUGAAAUGCGUAGAUAUUAGGAGGAACACCAGUGGCGAAGGCGGCUUACUGGACUGCAACUGACGUUGAGGCUCGAAGGCGUGGGGAGCAAACAGG